rnacentral:rRNA from 1 species
GCCCAGAGCCUGAAUCAGUGUGUGUGUUAGUGGAAGCGUCUGGAAAGGCGUGCGAUACAGGGUGACAGCCCCGUACACAAAAAUGCACAUAUUGUGAGCUUGAUGAGUAGGGCGGGACACGUGGUAUCCUGUCUGAAUAUGGGGGGACCAUCCUCCAAGGCUAAAUACUCCUGACUGACCGAUAGUGAACCAGUACCGUGAGGGAAAGGCGAAAAGAACCCCGGCGAGGGGAGUGAAAAAGAACCUGAAACCGUGUACGUACAAGCAGUGGGAGCACGCUUAGGCGUGUGACUGCGUACCUUUUGUAUAAUGGGUCAGCGACUUAUAUUCUGUAGCAAGGUUAACCGAAUAGGGGAGCCGAAGGGAAACCGAGUCUUAACUGGGCGUUAAGUUGCAGGGUAUAGACCCGAAACCCGGUGAUCUAGCCAUGGGCAGGUUGAAGGUUGGGUAACACUAACUGGAGGACCGAACCGACUAAUGUUGAAAAAUUAGCGGAUGACUUGUGGCUGGGGGUGAAAGGCCAAUCAAACCGGGAGAUAGCUGGUUCUCCCCGAAAGCUAUUUAGGUAGCGCCUCGUGAAUUCAUCUCCGGGGGUAGAGCACUGUUUCGGCAAGGGGGUCAUCCCGACUUACCAACCCGAUGCAAACUGCGAAUACCGGAGAAUGUUAUCACGGGAGACACACGGCGGGUGCUAACGUCCGUCGUGAAGAGGGAAACAACCCAGACCGCCAGCUAAGGUCCCAAAGUCAUGGUUAAGUGGGAAACGAUGUGGGAAGGCCCAGACAGCCAGGAUGUUGGCUUAGAAGCAGCCAUCAUUUAAAGAAAGCGUAAUAGCUCACUGGUCGAGUCGGCCUGCGCGGAAGAUGUAACGGGGCUAAACCAUGCACCGAAGCUGCGGCAGCGACGCUUAUGCGUUGUUGGGUAGGGGAGCGUUCUGUAAGCCUGCGAAGGUGUGCUGUGAGGCAUGCUGGAGGUAUCAGAAGUGCGAAUGCUGACAUAAGUAACGAUAAAGCGGGUGAAAAGCCCGCUCGCCGGAAGACCAAGGGUUCCUGUCCAACGUUAAUCGGGGCAGGGUGAGUCGACCCCUAAGGCGAGGCCGAAAGGCGUAGUCGAUGGGAAACAGGUUAAUAUUCCUGUACUUGGUGUUACUGCGAAGGGGGGACGGAGAAGGCUAUGUUGGCCGGGCGACGGUUGUCCCGGUUUAAGCGUGUAGGCUGGUUUUCCAGGCAAAUCCGGAAAAUCAAGGCUGAGGCGUGAUGACGAGGCACUACGGUGCUGAAGCAACAAAUGCCCUGCUUCCAGGAAAAGCCUCUAAGCAUCAGGUAACAUCAAAUCGUACCCCAAACCGACACAGGUGGUCAGGUAGAGAAUACCAAGGCGCUUGAGAGAACUCGGGUGAAGGAACUAGGCAAAAUGGUGCCGUAACUUCGGGAGAAGGCACGCUGAUAUGUAGGUGAAGUCCCUUGCGGAUGGAGCUGAAAUCAGUCGAAGAUACCAGCUGGCUGCAACUGUUUAUUAAAAACACAGCACUGUGCAAACACGAAAGUGGACGUAUACGGUGUGACGCCUGCCCGGUGCCGGAAGGUUAAUUGAUGGGGUCAGCGCAAGCGAAGCUCUUGAUCGAAGCCCCGGUAAACGGCGGCCGUAACUAUAACGGUCCUAAGGUAGCGAAAUUCCUUGUCGGGUAAGUUCCGACCUGCACGAAUGGCGUAAUGAUGGCCAGGCUGUCUCCACCCGAGACUCAGUGAAAUUGAACUCGCUGUGAAGAUGCAGUGUACCCGCGGCAAGACGGAAAGACCCCGUGAACCUUUACUAUAGCUUGACACUGAACAUUGAGCCUUGAUGUGUAGGAUAGGUGGGAGGCUUUGAAGUGUGGACGCCAGUCUGCAUGGAGCCGGCCUUGAAAUACCACCCUUUAAUGUUUGAUGUUCUAACGUGGACCCGUGAUCCGGGUUGCGGACAGUGUCUGGUGGGUAGUUUGACUGGGGCGGUCUCCUCCUAAAGAGUAACGGAGGAGCACGAAGGUUGGCUAAUCCUGGUCGGACAUCAGGAGGUUAGUGCAAUGGCAUAAGCCAGCUUGACUGCGAGCGUGACGGCGCGAGCAGGUGCGAAAGCAGGUCAUAGUGAUCCGGUGGUUCUGAAUGGAAGGGCCAUCGCUCAACGGAUAAAAGGUACUCCGGGGAUAACAGGCUGAUACCGCCCAAGAGUUCAUAUCGACGGCGGUGUUUGGCACCUCGAUGUCGGCUCAUCACAUCCUGGGGCUGAAGUAGGUCCCAAGGGUAUGGCUGUUCGCCAUUUAAAGUGGUACGCGAGCUGGGUUUAGAACGUCGUGAGACAGUUCGGUCCCUAUCUGCCGUGGGCGCUGGAGAACUGAGGGGGGCUGCUCCUAGUACGAGAGGACCGGAGUGGACGCAUCACUGGUGUUCGGGUUGUCAUGCCAAUGGCACUGCCCGGUAGCUAAAUGCGGAAGAGAUAAGUGCUGAAAGCAUCUAAGCACGAAACUUGCCCCGAGAUGAGUUCUCCCUGACCCUUUAAGGGUCCUGAAGGAACGUUGAAGACGACGACGUUGAUAGGCCGGGUGUGUAAGCGCAGCGAUGCGUUGAGCUAACCGGUACUAAUGAACCGUGAGGCUUAACCUUACAACGCCGAAG